AAAUUGAAGAGUUUGAUCAUGGCUCAGAUUGAACGCUGGCGGCAGGCCUAACACAUGCAAGUCGAACGGUAACAGGAAGCAGCUUGCUGUUUCGCUGACGAGUGGCGGACGGGUGAGUAAUGUCUGGGAAACUGCCUGAUGGAGGGGGAUAACUACUGGAAACGGUAGCUAAUACCGCAUAACGUCGCAAGACCAAAGAGGGG
rnacentral:rRNA from 1 species